AUUGAACGCUGGCGGCAGGCCUAACACAUGCAAGUCGAACGAGUGGCGGACGGGUGAGUAAUGUCUGGGAAACUGCCUGAUGGAGGGGGAUAACUACUGGAAACGGUAGCUAAUACCGCAUACCAUCAGAUGUGCCCAGAUGGGAUUAGCUAGUUGGUGGGGUAACGUCUCACCAAGGCGACGAUCCCUAGCUGGUCUGAGAGGAUGACAAGCCAAACAGGGACUGAGAGACGGUCCAGACUCCUGCGUGAGGCAGCAGUGCGGAAUAGUGCACGAUGGGCGAAAGCCAGAUACAGCAAUGCCGCGUGUAUGAAGAAGGCCGUCGGGUUGUGGAGUACUAUCGGUGAGGAGACGAUACCCGCAGAGGAAACGCGGGCUAACUCCGUGCCAGCAGCCGCGGUAAUUC
rnacentral:rRNA from 1 species